GAGUUUGAUCAUGGCUCAGAUUGAACGCUGGCGGCAGGCCUAACACAUGCAAGUCGAACGGUAACAGGAAACAGCUUGCUGUUUCGCUGACGAGUGGCGGACGGGUGAGUAAUGUCUGGGAAACUGCCUGAUGGAGGGGGAUAACUACUGGAAACGGUAGCUAAUACCGCAUAACGUCGCAAGACCAAAGAGGGGGACCUUCGGGCCUCUUGCCAUCAGAUGUGCCCAGAUGGGAUUAGCUAGUAGGUGGGGUAACGGCUCACCUAGGCGACGAUCCCUAGCUGGUCUGAGAGGAUGACCAGCCACACUGGAACUGAGACACGGUCCAGACUCCUACGGGAGGCAGCAGUGGGGAAUAUUGCACAAUGGGCGCAAGCCUGAUGCAGCCAUGCCGCGUGUAUGAAGAAGGCCUUCGGGUUGUAAAGUACUUUCAGCGGGGAGGAAGGGAGUAAAGUUAAUACCUUUGCUCAUUGACGUUACCCGCAGAAGAAGCACCGGCUAACUCCGUGCCAGCAGCCGCGGUAAUACGGAGGGUGCAAGCGUUAAUCGGAAUUACUGGGCGUAAAGCGCACGCAGGCGGUUUGUUAAGUCAGAUGUGAAAUCCCCGGGCUCAACCUGGGAACUGCAUCUGAUACUGGCAAGCUUGAGUCUCGUAGAGGGGGGUAGAAUUCCAGGUGUAGCGGUGAAAUGCGUAGAGAUCUGGAGGAAUACCGGUGGCGAAGGCGGCCCCCUGGACGAAGACUGACGCUCAGGUGCGAAAGCGUGGGGAGCAAACAGGAUUAGAUACCCUGGUAGUCCACGCCGUAAACGAUGUCGACUUGGAGGUUGUGCCCUUGAGGCGUGGCUUCCGGAGCUAACGCGUUAAGUCGACCGCCUGGGGAGUACGGCCGCAAGGUUAAAACUCAAAUGAAUUGACGGGGGCCCGCACAAGCGGUGGAGCAUGUGGUUUAAUUCGAUGCAACGCGAAGAACCUUACCUGGUCUUGACAUCCACGGAAUUUUUCAGAGAUGAGAAUGUGCCUUCGGGAACCGUGAGACAGGUGCUGCAUGGCUGUCGUCAGCUCGUGUUGUGAAAUGUUGGGUUAAGUCCCGCAACGAGCGCAACCCUUAUCCUUUGUUGCCAGCGGUCCGGCCGGGAACUCAAAGGAGACUGCCAGUGAUAAACUGGAGGAAGGUGGGGAUGACGUCAAGUCAUCAUGGCCCUUACGACCAGGGCUACACACGUGCUACAAUGGCGCAUACAAAGAGAAGCGACCUCGCGAGAGCAAGCGGACCUCAUAAAGUGCGUCGUAGUCCGGAUUGGAGUCUGCAAUUCGACUCCAUGAAGUCGGAAUCGCUAGUAAUCGUGGAUCAGAAUGCCACGGUGAAUACGUUCCCGGGCCUUGUACACACCGCCCGUCACACCAUGGGAGUGGGUUGCAAAAGAAGUAGGUAGCUUAACCUUCGGGAGGGCGCUUACCACUUUGUGAUUCAUGACUGGGGUGAAGUCGUAACAAGGUAACCGUAGGGGAACCUGCGGUUG
rnacentral:rRNA from 1 species